rnacentral:rRNA from 1 species
UGCUUGGAAGCAGCAAUUCAUUUAAAGAGUGCGUAACAGCUCACUAGUCGAGUGACCGAGCGCGGAAAAUAAUCGGGCAUCAAACAUAGUGCCGAAGCUAUAGGAUUCAUCCUCGGAUGAAUCGGUAGGGGAGCAUUCUGACCUGCGCCGAAGGCGAUUCGUAAGGAUCUCUGGAGCGGUCAGAAAAGAAAAUGUAGGCAUAAGUAACGAUAAAUAAAGUGAAAAACUUUAUCGCCGUAAGUCUAAGGUUUCCUGAUCAACGCUAAUCGGAUCAGGGUUAGUCGGGUCCUAAGGUGUAACCCGAGAGGGGCAACCGAUGGAAAGCUGGUUAAUAUUCCAGCACCUGCUUAUACUGCGAUGGGGUGACGAAGGUGUGAAAGUACCGCGUGGUUACGGAAUAUCACGUUAAAGGGUGUAGAUGUUGAGAGGGUAGGCAAAUCCGCCCUUGAAUCGAACCGGAUAGUACCGCAAGUCUUCGGACAAGUGGAUAGUGUACCUAAUCAAACUUCCAAGAAAAACCUCUAAGCUUCAGGUAUAAGCAGCCCGUACCGUAAACCGACACAGGUAGACGAGGAGAGUAUCCUCAGGCGCUCGAGUGAGUCACGGCUAAGGAACUCGGCAAAAUGGACCCGUAACUUCGGGAGAAGGGUCGCCCCAGCAAUGGGGCCGCAGUGAAAAGAAUCAGGCGACUGUUUAACAAAAACACAGGGCUCUGCUAAAUCGAAAGAUGAUGUAUAGGGCCUGACACCUGCCCGGUGCUGGAAGGUUAAGGAAGGUUGUUAGCCGCAAGGCAAAGCUUCCGACUGAAGCCCCAGUAAACGGCGGCCGUAACUAUAACGGUCCUAAGGUAGCGAAAUUCCUUGUCGGGUAAGUUCCGACCUGCACGAAUGGUGUAACGAUCUGAUAACUGUCUCAGCCGUGAGCUCGGUGAAAUUGUAGUCCCGGUGAAGAUGCCGGGUACCCGUAACGGGACGGAAAGACCCCGUGAACCUUCACUACAACUUUGCAUUGACUUUGAGUAAACGAUGUGUAGGAUAGGUGGGAGACUUUGAAGCGGGCACGCUAGUGUUCGUGGAGUCAACGUUGAAAUACCACCCUUUGUUUACUUAGAGCCUAACUCCGCAAUCGGAGGAAAGUGCAUGGUGGGUAGUUUGACUGGGGUGGUCGCCUCCAAAAGAGUAACGGAGGCUUCCAAAGGUACCCUCAGCACGCUUGGUAACCGUGCGCAGAGUGUAUUAGCAUAAGGGUGCUUGACUGUGAGACCGACGGGUCGAGCAGGUACGAAAGUAGGAUAAAGUGAUCCGGUGGUUCUGCAUGGAAGGGCCAUCGCUCAAAGGAUAAAAGGUACUC